rnacentral:rRNA from 1 species
UACGGAGGGUGCAGGCGUUGUCCGGAAUCACUGGGCGUAAAGGGCGCGUAGGCGGCUCAUGAAGGCUGUGGUGAAAGUCCGGGGCUCAACCUCGGAUCGGCCGUGGCGACUCGUGGGCUGGAGCACUGUAGAGGCAGGUGGAAUUCCGGGUGUAGCGGUGGAAUGCGUAGAGAUCCGGAAGAACACCAGUGGCGAAGGCGGCCUGCUGGGCAGUGGCUGACGCUGAGGCGCGACAGCGUGGGGGAGCAAACAGG